rnacentral:lncRNA from 12 species
CAAAUCUCCAAAUGCUCCUGACAGAGUGACAGAGAAGUGGGAAAAAUGUGGUUUUACCUCCGUGGUUUUGAUGGAUCCUGAGCUCCAAGUACUGCAGAGCUGUGGUUUGUAAUUCCAACAUGGACCAAAUCUUCCAUUUGGAGCCUGCCCUGCUCAGAAAUCCACACUUGUCUCUCUGCU